ACAAUACUCGCCGGAAGCGGAAGCCGCGCUGAGAAGCUCGUGUCAGUGGAAACCCGGGUGUCGGCUCGCUGCCGCGGGAAGGCCUAGCGGUGCUUGCGGGAGGAGAAGGAGGGGGGCCAGAGGCCAGUCCAGAGAGAAGGUGGCGAGCUGAGGCGGCCAGUUACGUGGCGGACCUGCGGGUCUCAGCUGGCACGUCACUUCCGACUGGUUGAGUUUUAGCCUUUUAACAUUCCAGGAUUAGGUGACCAUUCUGAGGAGGAAGUGUGUUUCAAAGGUCUGUUAAGAAUGUUUUUUUGCUUGGAGACUGAUUAUUAACAAGAUUUUAUGCUGAAUAUGGAAGGAAAGGUGAGAGAAUGUUUAGAUAAAAAUAUAAAAUUAUGUAGGUAAUGUACUAUGAUAUAGAACAGGGGUUGGCAAACCUUUCCUGUAAAGAACCAGUUUGCAAGCACAUCCUGUGUGGGCCUGAGAGACACUGGGGUGACCACUCAUGUCCUUCCAACCCUGCUGUCCCUGAUUUGCCUUCUUCUAACUGACUUCCUGGUGACGCCUGCUCUCCAAGGUUGUUGCAGGUGACAUGGCAGGAAUGGAGGGUAGCGAGGUCUCUGCAUUGCAUAUGCUCAUACGUAGGCUGCAUAGUCACUGAACAAGGUAAUUAUCACUCUGGGUUCCAUGUUGGACAAGAUGAUCUGCAGGCUGAGCUGUGUUAUCCAAGCAGGGUCCUAGAUACAAGAAUCACGGCUGUCAUUUGGGAAGGUCUGUCUCAACUUUGUGGAACCUGAGAGGUUGUCCUCCCUGAAUAUUUCCCCCUUCCCUUGUCAGACCUUCUGAAUCUCUAGGAAGGCACCAUCGCUAAACUGAACCAUUUUUUUGCUUUCCUGUGUCAUGUUCCCAGGUAAAUCCUGGUCUCCCACUAUCUCUGCCAGUUUGCCUCCGACGAGAUCCUGCAAAGUCACUUCUUGUGAUUCCACUCGGUUGGUUUUUUUCCUUUCAUCCAGGUUAUUUCUUAGUGAUUUUCUCUUGUAUUCGUGAGUCAGUUACAUUAGGAAGUCAGUAUUCUCUAACUUAACCUUUCCACUAAUUUUUGGACCAAAUGGGCAAAGGUUCUCUUUCCAAGUCUCAGCCCCUUCCCACACAGGGACAAGACAGUAGUAGGGUUCCUGGAGAGUCAGCGAUUGGCACAGACCCUCAUCAGCAUGAGACAGGUAGGUCACAAAGGUGUGUACCUGCAUCUUCUUUCUGUCCCUAGCAUGUGGUGCAACACCUGGCCCACAGUAGGCACUCAAUUAGCUUCUGUGUGGAGGCUGUUUCCCCAAAACUCAUUAUAAUAGUUGCAUUUACCAGGUUAUUCACCCAACUCUGAAUUCCUUCAUGUUUCUCUCACUGAGCCUAGCAGAGAGCCUGACAUCUACUACUGCCUAAUAUGUGUCUGCCAAAUGGAAGUGGGACUUUGGCAAUUCAAAAUUUUUUUCAACUGACUGAUAUAUGCACAAUGUUUGAAAAAUUUACAUAACAUGAAAGUAUAGAGUGAAAAGUAAAUUUCAUCCUCCAUCCCAUCCAUAAUUCUUCCAAACUCUCUCCCUGGACAUAACAGCUGUUAACCAGUUUCAACAGUAUUAUAGGAAGAGAUUUCCAUUUUAGCAGGUGGUACUUUUUAAGAUUUUAUUUUUUCUAUUUGAGAGAGAGAGAGAGAGCAGGGGCAGGGGAGAGGGAGAAGCAGGCUCAUG